rfam:Danio rerio chromosome 21 genomic contig CTG3282, GRCz11 reference primary assembly.
AGCCACAGCCUUAUCACCCUGCAGAACCAAGACCGGUUACUCACUGAAGCUAAGCAGGGCUGAGCCUGGUCAGUACCUGGAUGGGAGACUACUAGGGAACACUAGGUUGCUGUUGGAA